rnacentral:rRNA from 1 species
CCUACGGGUGACAGCAGUGAGGAAUAUUGGUCAAUGGACGCAAGUCUGAACCAGCCAUGCCGCGUGCAGGAAGACGGCUCUAUGAGUUGUAAACUGCUUUUGUACGAGGGUAAACGCAGAUACGCGUAUCUGUCUGAAAGUAUCGUACGAAUAAGGAUCGGCUAACUCCGUGCAAGCAGCCGCGGUAAUACGGAGGAUUCAAGCGUUAUCCGGAUUUAUUGGGUUUAAAGGGUGCGUAGGCGUUCGGAUAAGUUAGAGGUGAAAUCCCGAGGCGCAACUUCGGAAUUGCCUCUGAUAGUGUUGAGCUAGAGAGUAGUAGCGGUAGGCGGAAUGUAUGGUGUAGCGGUGAAAUGCUUAGAGAUCAUCCAGAACACCGAUUGCGAAGGCAGCUUACCAAGCUACUUCUGACGUGGAGGCACGAAAGCGUGGGGAGCAAACAGGAUGAGAUACCCCAGUAGUC